rnacentral:rRNA from 1 species
UACAGAGGUGGCAAGCGUUUGUUCGGAAUUACUGGGCGUAAAGGGCGCGUAGGCGGCUUUUUAAGUCAGACGUGAAAUCCCCCGGCUUAACCUGGGAACUGCGUCUGAUACUGGAAGGCUUGAGUAUGGGAGAGGGAUGUAGAAUUCCAGGUGUAGCGGUGAAAUGCGUAGAUAUCUGGAGGAAUACCGGUGGCGAAGGCGGGUCACUCGUCG